rnacentral:lncRNA from 7 species
UCCUUGUGAUAGGAGACUUCAUCUGGAUCAGAUGAAUUCUUAUGGAUGAGAGUUUUGCCAGAACCAGUGAAUUCCUACAGGAAGACUUCAGAAGAACAGAAGGAGCAGCAUUUGCCUGGAUACAUUUCUCAGUAGUACUUCUUAUUCUCUGAGAAACGGCAGGAUGCUGUCUCAGCCUCUCAGCUGGGUACCCCUCUGUGCACAGCAGUGGAGCUCAGAGCACGGCUGUCACAUUGGGUUGUUCUGGAAGCUUUGCCUCGGAGGCAGAAGGAGCUGGGCAGCCUUUCUGUGCCCUGUCAUGCUCGCAGAAGGGAACAGGGCGUUUGUUUUAUUAGCCAACUGGUCUGCACCAUCAUUCCUUUCUCUAGUCUAAAAUUCUACAGAUAUAGCUGGGGAAAAAUAAAUUAUUAAUAAAUGCAAAUGAAAUGCAAAGUAAUUUUGUUGGGGCAGAAAUAUAUUACAGAAAGCCUGCAAGCCACUGGAGGUUUUCACCAAAAACGUAUUAUUGAAAGUCAUUAUCAAAUAUAAAUACGUAGACCAGAAGAUGAGCCUUUUGGUACCUAGCUUUAGUUUUUCAGAGUAUUUGCUUAUUACAGUCAACAUUAUGCUGAUUUUAUAGACUGGCGAGUAGUUGAUUACUAAUUUCCCAAAUGGAUUUACUACAAAUGAUGUUAGCCACCUUUAUGUGAAAUUGUGAAUUUUGCAGACAUCCCUGUCUGAUGUGUGAUCAAUUUAAGUUGCUUCUGCUGUACAAAACACAUUGCUUCUACCUAAUGCUUUUUUUUAUUAUUAUUAUUUUUUCCCUUUUUAUUUUUCUGCUCUGUAUCAUUCAAGUGUAUGGAAAGGUCUCAGGAUUUGAAUGCAUGCAUAUGCAGGAAGUUACCUGCAAUCCCAGAUACCUAUGCUGAGAUUUCACACAUAGAGAUCAUUUUCAUGAACACCUCUCACUAGAGGAAGGAGGGAAAGAUUUGUAUAAAAACUGAGUAUUCAAUUAGGAGUGGUUUUUUUACCAGUCUGCUGCUGCCAGUACAACCUCUCCUUCAAAAGAUACCAGGGGCUUUUUAAAAGCUACUCUAGUGAAGACCUGAAUACAAUUUUUUCUUGUCAGGGUGGACAUCUUUGAAUGCUGCAAAGAGAGUACACAAUGCUGCAUGAGAUAACGUGUUUCAAUAAAGAAGAGAGUCUUUGAAACUCUUUCUUAAUUAAUAUGUAGAUAAGUAGUUUUCUUUUUCUAUGGUUUUGUUUUCUUAAUUAGUGCAAUCACCAGCUCUCUACUAUCUAGUCUGCCAUUGGGUAUUUCCUAGCAUGUUGUAUCCUUUUUCUACUGAGCUAACAAAAAAACCCACAAAACAACAAGAUGUCAGUUCUUCAAAACCUAAAUAUGAUGUAAAGAAAUAAAUAA